rnacentral:pre_miRNA from 1 species
AACAGAAUUGCUGGAUCAUAUGGUAAUUCUACAUUUGCUUUUUUGAGCAAGUGUCAAACUGUUUUCUAAAAUGGCUGUAACAUUUUACAUUCCCAUCAGUAAU